UUGAAAAGUCCUCCUCUUCCUUCUCUCUUUCCUCGCCCCUCCUCUUUGUUCCGCUCUGCGGGGAAAGAGACCCCGGGCCUGGCGUCGCGGGUGCGGAGAGGACAGCGGGCCGGGCGCAGGUUCAUGUUGGAGGAGGUCAUCGAGAGCCUGUGACCACCAAUUGACCUGUGAACUGGACCCCAGCAAUUACAGCUCCUCAUCCCCCCACCCUGUCCUUGGAAUGUGCGCUCUACUUGUCUUCACCAGGCUAGAAGCUGCCCACGGGCACAGACUUGAAAUAGUAACAUGCUGUUGAAACCUUAUGGAUGUUGUAUGUGACAGUCCAUGUAAGGCCUCUGUAUAAAUUUUAAGAUUUUGGUGUUGGGUGUGGAGAUGUACUCACAGUCUGCAAUUGCCCAAGACAAGCUAUGUAUCAGCUCCUGUAGGUUCUGUCCUGACCACACAUCACCCUCUCCAGGGUGGCCUCCCCGGUCUAAGCCAGCAUCGGUCUCACCUGGAUUUCGGCUGCCAUCCCAUCCUCACUGCUUCCACUCUUGCCCCUUCAAGAGAAAGUAUAAAUCAGCUCUCAUCACUCCACUGAUUAAAGUCCUCCGAAGACUGCCCAGCUGCAAUUACAGCAAUUCCCAAACAUCUUGCCUCGGUCUUCCGACUCAUCUCCACGAGUGCUGAUCAACCUAGGGGUGAAACUGAAAAUAAAACGAAGUCCUUGGAUCCGAUACCCGAUGCUCCUCCGGAGUUUAAUUCCCACUUUAUACCUGUGACCAAGUUAAUUAAACUGACCCCCGAUUGGGGGAGAGCAGUGUGAGAACCAGAUGAUUAGGAUAUGAAGAAGUGAUUGGGUUAGCAACAGCAGGUCUUCAAGUCACCAUUUUGAAGAAUCCCCAUGACCUACUGUCCCUCCACUUGCGUACUACCCAGGAAGCUUGCUUAUGGGAUACUACAGUCUACAUCAGCUCAGUACCUUCCGCUCAUACCAGCCAACUAGUGGCACUCAUCCUACAUAUAUGGUACCAGCCUGGCAGAUGUCCAGUGUUAAAUCAGUCUUCUCCAACAGCAUGGAUGCCAGAGCCAAUUCCUGUGGCAAACUGCCCUCCUGGUCUGGAAUACUUAUUAGCUCAGACUUUUGAGAUCAUAUGAAGGAUAUCGGGACUCCUCAGAGAAAUUCUGUCCAACACAGCAGGUUUACAUGGCUUCUGAGCGUUGAGUUUGCCAGCAACUCCACUAGCUCCUCAAGGAACUGCUCCUUAAUAGCCACCGUGUCUUAUUAGUGAUGACAUCUUUUGAAACUAAUAACAGAUAUGAUAUUAAAAACAACCUGGACCAAAUGGUUUAACAUUGUAACUGAAGACACAGACAACUUUACCAGAAAUGCUUAUCGGACACUAAGGCCCUUCGUCCUCCAGGUCACCAACUGUAUGGGCUGAGAAAUCAUGACAACGCAGAGACCUUUCAGAUGCACCUGCUGUUGCCUCUGUUGUCCCUCCUCCAGGCAAGAGGUCAGAGAAUGCAGGUCUUAUCCCUGGUUUCUUCCUGAUCCAAGUCUUCACUUGCACGCUUGUGCUCCUUCCAGAAUGACAAUGAGGGGAUUUUCACUGGGUCUGCUGGUCAGCAUGAAAGAAGGGAGUGGGGAGGAAGGAGGCCACAUUGUUUCACCCAAGGAAAAUCACAGAGGGCUUUUUCUUGUGGGCUCUUGUCUUCUGGCGGGUCAGGCACAAAUUAGGGUAUUUAUUCGGUGACCACAAUUUUGUCACUUGUAUCUACUGAAUUGGAAAUGUAUCUGUGACCUAGAAUAGAAGUCACGUACAUGUGUCUAAAUGUACCUACAUAUCCUCAGGUAAGAUGUCCCUAGACAUCAUCGAAUGCUUUUAGAAUCGGAAGAGACCUUGGAUGACUUUAGACUCCCCAUCCCAGUCCAUACCUUGCCACAGAUAAAGAAGGGGUGGCUCAGAAAGAUGAGGUGCCUGUUGAGGGUGUUACAGGCCCCUGAGUGCUGGACCUAGAGAGCUGAUGUUCUGAGUUACAGUCCGGUUGCUCUCUACAGCCUGCACGGCUCUAGGAAGUUAUUCGCUGCAGGGAAAUGAAGCAGCCUUAGUGAGAGGUCCACCAGAAUUUUGAAUUCUAGGGGCGCCUGGGUGGUACAGCGGUUGAGCAUCUGCCUUCGGCUUAGGGCGUGAUCCUGGCGUUAUGGGAUCGAGCCCCACAUCAGGCUCCUUCACUAUGAGACUGCUUCUUCCUCUCCCACUCCCUCUGCUUGUGUUCCCUCUCUUGCUGACUGUCUCUCUGUCGAAUAAAUAAAUAAAAUCUUUAAAAAAAAUUUUUUUUUGAAUUCUAGAUAUGUCACCUACUUAAAUUGUGCAAUUUACUUAACUUCUUUGGGGCUGCGUGCUCUUGUACAUAAAAUAUGCACAACUAUAUCCCAUAGGAUUAUGGGGAUAUUUAGAAGACACAGUAAGUGCCAGCACUUACUAAAUGUUAAUUUAUUUACAACCCUCUCUGUGUUUGAUUUCCUAUAAGAUGGUGAUAAUAAUAGCAGCUAUCACACAGGAUUGCUUUGAGGAUUAAAGAGUAAUAAGUAAAUGUCAACUGUUCAUUACAGUACCUGGCAAAUAGUACAGUGCCUCAGAGAAUGUUGUUGCCAGGUCUUACUCCUCUCUCGUUACUGUUUUUGUAAUAAUAGCCUGAUAUUUGAGAUGAAUCUUCACCUUUAAUCCUUAAUCCUUUUGGAUUCAUAUUCCUUAGUUGGGGUUUUUUCUCGAAUCCUAUAAAUGCAGCCUUCCAUAAGUAAAGUAAGCCAUGAUGUAGUAAAGUUAAUCAAAAUUACAAAUAUACUCAAUUUAUAGAACAUUUAUCUCAUGAUAGAUUUUUCUCAUUUCUCCAAUUUUAUUUGUAGUCUUGUGUGUGUGUGUAUUCAGUUUUGUGAGGUUUGAUCACCUCUGUCGGUUCCAGUGUCCACCACACAAUGCAGAUACCCGACAAUUCAAUCACCACAAAAAUUCCCCUUUAUAACCACGCCCAUCAUAGAAUUAAAGAAGGAACUGGCCGUUUCAUAGCAAGUGACAAGCAAGCCUCCCCUGUCCUGAGGAAAACAUGACUUCAUCCCUCAAGGUUGCUCCCUCCAAUGACAGCCCUGAGAAUUGGCCGCGGGAAGGCGCAGUCAGAGCUUCGCAUUGCUGGCACACACAGCAAGAAGUUUAGAAGUGUGAGGGGCCCAUGGAGGACUCUCUCUCAACAAUUUCCUUAGCCCUUAAAGGAUUUCAGAGCACAUCUAGGUGGUGUGUACAUGUAUAGAUCUGUGCAUAGCUUCCUCCCCUCUGUCACA